AAUCUUCCGCAAUGGACGCAAGUCUGACGGAGCAACGCCGCGUGAGUGAUGAAGGUUUUCGGAUCGUAAAACUCUGUUGUUAGGGAAGAACAAGUACCGUUCGAAUAGGUCGGUACCUUGACGGUACCAAACCAGAAAGCCACGGCUAACUACUGUUCAGCAGCCGCCGGAAUACGUAGGUGGCAAGCGUUACCCGGAAUUUUUGGGCGUAAAGCGCGCGCAGGCGGUUUCUUAAGUCUGAUGUGAAAGCCCACGGCUCAACCGUGGAGGGUCAUUGGAAACUGGGGAACUUGAGUGCAGAAGAGGAGAGUGGAAUUCCAUGUGUAGCGGUGAAAUGCGUAGAGAUAUGGAGGAACACCAGUGGCGAAGGCGACUCUCUGGUCUGCAACUGACGCUGAGGCGCGAAAGCGUGGGGAGCAAACA
rnacentral:rRNA from 1 species